AACGAACGCUGGCGGCAUGCCUAACACAUGCAAGUCGAACGAGACCUUCGGGUCUAGUGGCGCACGGGUGCGUAACGCGUGGGAACCUGCCCUUAGGUUCGGAAUAACUCCCCGAAAGGGGUGCUAAUACCGGAUAAUGUCUUCGGACCAAAGAUUUAUCGCCUUUGGAUGGGCCCGCGUUGGAUUAGCUAGUUGGUAGGGUAAAAGCCUACCAAGGCGACGAUCCAUAGCUGGUCUGAGAGGACGAUCAGCCACACUGGGACUGAGACACGGCCCAGACUCCUACGGGAGGCAGCAGUGGGGAAUAUUGGACAAUGGGCGAAAGCCUGAUCCAGCAAUGCCGCGUGAGUGGUGAAGGCCUUAGGGUUGUAAAGCUCUUUUACCCGGGAUGAUAAUGACAGUACCGGGAGAAUAAGCUCCGGCUAACUCCGUG
rnacentral:rRNA from 1 species